rnacentral:rRNA from 1 species
UACAGAGGUCCCAAGCGUUGUUCGGAUUCACUGGGCGUAAAGGGUGCGUAGGUGGCCAGGUAAGUUUGGUGUGAAAGCUCGGAGCUUAACUCCGAAAAGUCAUUGAAUACUAUCUGGCUGGAGGGUCGGAGGGGAGACUGGAAUUCUCGGUGUAGCAGUGAAAUGCGUAGAUAUCGAGAGGAACACCAGUGGCGAAGGCGAGUCUCUGGACGGCUCCUGACACUGAGGCACGAAAGCUAGGUGAGCAAACGGG